ACGUUGUCACGUCAAAAACUGCCAUUCGAUGAUAGAAGGAUGAUGAUAAUGAAAUUAAACUACAACUAUUUUGAAAAAUCAAUACCAUUGGGGAGGCGGUAUUUCAUACCCUGAUCCUAUUGUACCCUGACUAAAAAACAUUGCUAAAGUCUAAUAAGCUAAACAGUUUUAUUCUAGCAACAGUUGCGAUAAAAUAAAAUUUUACCAAAAUAAAUGACGUUAUAUUAACCGGUGAAUACAUAUAUAAACUUUUUUUGACAUGACUUACAUACCUGAUUAUACUGUUUGAAAUUAUAGUUUAUCUGUACAAAAAUGUAUAAAAAAAAACUUCAUUGUGAAAAGAACCUAUAUACUAUGCAAAAUCUCAAAUAUAAACCCUUAAAAUGUUAAAUAUACGUCAGUUUUUCCUCUUAUAUAAUUAUAUUAUAUAAAGAUUAAUUUUAGGAAGUUUUCAGUUAGUCUAGUACAAUCGCUGUUACAACCAUAAAUAUUAAAUAUACAUAAAUAAUAACUAAACAAUUCUUCUAGUACAUAAAUUGUUAAUAUCCAAUUUUAAAAGCAGACACUAUCUGUUUUUGGAUUACAUUUUUUUAACUCCUAGAAAAGCUUAAUAAAUGAUCAAAAUAUCAAUGUAAUCCAAAAAUGGAUGGUUAAUCAAUAUUAAUAAUAGUUACAUGGGCAAUUGAAUAUAUUUUUACUGGUGGUAACCUGCCGAAAAAAAAAUGGAUCGAAUGUAUCUUGCUUUAAAGUCGAAUAUACUCUGAACUACUGAUUUCUUUAUUUCUUAAAGGAAAUUUAUGACUGUUGAAAUUUAAGCAAAAUUAAGCUUUAAAACAAAGUGGUUUAGAUUCAUUUAACUCAACUUCAAUAUUCUAAAUACAACGUUGACGAUGUACAAACGAUGUAUCGAGACACUAUAACGUCAAAGCAAAAUAGACCUCAGAUCUGAUAUUUUAAGGAUCAAAUUCAUCCAUACACGUACCGCCAGUGCAGAAACAUCGUAAAACAAAAAUUGGAAGUACUGAAAAAACUACAUUAUAACUUAUAGAUUUUAGAUCAAUUUUACUCUGAUCGUUCGAUUCGAUGUCAUACUGAAUUUAUAUUCGAUUGCCCUUAGUCGAUAAUGCAACGGUUGUGAGAGAGGCCUAAACGUAGUCACUCAUUACUUUACGUUCCCGGAUAUACUGCCUAUUGUGUUCCUACGGUACUCUGUAAUGCCCGGUCUUCACUCGUGCCAAACUUGCGAACGCUGUCAAAAUUUGCGUCUAUCGAAGACAGCAAAACCGAAAUUGGAUGGAGAACUUCGUGAAGCCGCGACUACUCAAUAGAGAUGAUGACUUUUAGUCAAAUCAGCAACGUCAAAUGUCAAAACGCUCGCUUAGUAUGGGAGCUUGUAUGAAAUACACAGAAUAAAUGUGACGUCAUACACAUUUGACGUACUUUUUUUUAGUUAAAUCGAUAUUUCAAAAUGGUUGGCAAACUUAAAACUAGCAGUGAGUGUGGAUUUUACGAAUUUCGGAAGACCCUCUAUUUAAUGAUUACUAAUGAAUAAUUUAUUUUUGACCUAAGCAUCAUCCCCAUAGUUACGCAGCGUGGCGCGAGUGUCGAGCGGGUUUAAUCAGACUACUGUCACAGUUUAGCUACCAUACAGUGCGAAAAUAACGAUAAUUAGAUAAAAGUGGAAGUCAUGCCAUUGUUUUUAAUUUUUGAAAUAUAUUGGAUUUCGCAAUUCAAGAAUGAAUAGUAAACAGGUAUUUGAUUUAGGGCUGUACUUAAUAAUCUGCGCUUCGAAAAAUCAAGACUAUUCUCUUAUAAGCUAAAAUUUAAUUUCUGAACUGUAUGAUCACUAAACUGUGUGCUAUUUGUGCAAUUUUUACCGAGCGUUUUUCGAAUCCGAAGUUAUUUCUACACUCUGUUAUCGUUUGUUAUUAUAAUAUCAUGUUGACGUUUUUCAUUGGUCUACAUUUUUUUUUCACUGAAGAUAGUAAUGCUGGAUUUUAAUUUCUUUUCUUCCUCCAUCUCUUUCCGAAACGGGAGAUCAGUCAAAGAAUAUCAGCCGUGAUGUUAUAUCCACCACUAUGUAGACUACAUGAAAAUCUCUGUCAAAACUACUUUUAAACCUGAGCUUGCCCUUUAUCGUUAAUAAAAAGUUAUAUCGUUUCCAAAUAUCAACAUAAUUGCAUUAUUUUUGAGCGUUGACUUACAAAGAUUAGUGCGAAAUAUCACAAAUACUUUGGUUAACUAUUUAAGUUAAAGUUGGCCGACAUUUUAUGUCUGAAAACUAGUAGAAUACUUCUACUAAAUGUCUAAUUUCAAGACAUAGGAACAUAAUAUUAUGUAUGCGUAAGAGUACGUAAAAUACGUACGACUGUGUUAAUACGGCAAUGAUUUGCAGCAAGACGGCACAAAAGAUAUACGUUUUUACUUUUUAGUUGACGACGCAGAAGAUUGUUUGUUAAUCCACGUGUAUAACACAGUUAUUAUAGAUUUUAUUUGUUCCUAUUCGAUAAUCGUAAUUUAACUUAAACGGUUUUUGAUUAGUGGAAUAAGUUUGUGUUUUCCAAAUCGUAUUUGGAUAUUAUGUUAAAGUGUCGUUAUGCUGUUACUUUUGUUGUUUAGUAGGAAAUACGCAUUCUUUACUUCAUUUGUUAAACAUUUUCCCACCCAGUUAAGAUAUUUUAAGAUAAAUCAUAGUUGUUUUCUUUCUAUACGCGAACUGAUUUUUAGUCUUUUCGGACCGGAUAUGCGAUCCAUAUUAUAUUGCUUAAGUUUGAUUGCAUCGUUAAUCUAAUCAAAUUGGAUACGUUUAUUUUCCGGGUAUAACCCGUUGCGUUGUUCUAAUGAAAGGUAAUCGGGCAUUUUGGACCCGCCAACACGAACCUAAAUAGUUUUAAAUCAAAAGUAAAAUUGUAACAAUUCUGUAUGUACAAAUAUUUGAUUCAAAAUCAAUGAGAGAAAAAGUUAUUAAACAUUGAAAAGAGUAUAGGUACAUAUUAUAUCAAUAGUUUUUCUUUCAUAUACAAGUACAAAAAUUAUUUCAACUUUUUCGUGACUCCCAUGAACAACGCGAUCUAUGUCACUGUUAGUAUAUGUAUACCUAUAUACUGACCUAUAUACUGUUAGUUUCGAUUGUGUGGCAUGGUUUCCAUACUGCAGUGUCUUGCCUUUGAACGGAAAAAAUCUUCUGCUCAUGACGUAGAUAAUUGUUUCAGCGCGCAUUUAAGAAUUUUUUUUUUUCGUAGCACAUACGCCUUUGUACAAACGCAGAAGUCGAAUUUAAAGUUAUAAGGUGUUCAAAAUGGUCCGAUUCCACGAAAUAAAUUUUUACAGGAGGAACAAAGAAAAUGAAUUAAAACUAUUUGAAAUUUUAAUGUACCGUUUUGAUUGAAAUCACGAACUUUGGAGUCAAUUUUAGUACAUUUUUAGGUUGUUUUGCUCGAAAAUGAGUUAAGAUUUGUAUUCAGUGGGCCAAAAACGUCCGGAUUAAA